rnacentral:rRNA from 1 species
UACGUAGGGUGCAAGCGUUAAUCGGAAUUACUGGGCGUAAAGCGUGCGCAGGCGGUUCGUUGUGUCGGCGGUGAAAGCCCCGGGCUCAACCUGGGAAUGGCCGUUGAAACUGGCGAACUGGAGUGUGGCAGAGGGGGGGGUGGAAUUCCGCGUGUAGCAGUGAAAUGCGUAGAGAUGCGGAGGAACACCGAUGGCGAAGGCAGCCCCUGGGCUAACACUGACGCUCAGGCACGAAAGCGUGGGGAGCAAACAGG